UUUUUAAGUGAAUAUUCUGACGAAGUGAUUAGAUAAAAUUGAGGAAAAUAUAAGGGGAGACUCUAUCAUAAUAGAGAAAUCUAAAAUUGAUUGCAUCAAACUCAAGGUAAGUGGAUAUUGUAAUUACAUGCCCUAUGUAGUUUUCAAGUAUUUUCUAGUGCGUUAUAUGUAUUUUCAUAUAUAAAGUGCAAGUGUUUUGUAAACGUAUCAUUAUGUUUUGAGUGUUAUUUUGCCCAUGUGUUUUGGAAAGUGAUUUUGAUGAGUGUGCUUCAUUCGUUAUUGAUGUGAGUUGUUCCAAAAGCACCUGCAUGAUAG
rnacentral:lncRNA from 1 species